CACGUAGGGCGCAAGCGUUGUCCGGAAUUAUUGGGCGUAAAGGGCGCGUAGGCGGUCAGCACAAGUCAGUUGUGAAAUCUCCGGGCUUAACUCGGAAAGGUCAACUGAUACUGUGCGACUAGAGUGCAGAAGGGGCAACUGGAAUUCUCGGUGUAGCGGUGAAAUGCGUAGAUAUCGAGAGGAACACCUGCGGCGAAGGCGGGUUGCUGGGACAACACUGACGCUGAGACGCGAAAGCUAGGGGAGCAAACGGG
rnacentral:rRNA from 1 species